GUACAUUUGAGUCAGCAGCAAAUAGAGUAUGUGCAUAAGCUUCAACCAGCAGAUGGCAGUGUUGUCACAAUUUGGUCCCGUACCAACUACAAGCAGACUACAUGUACCUUAACACAGGUAUGCCUGCCGAAUGUUGUACCUGGAAGUUGUUGUACUUGUAGACGGAGCCUCCGGUGUGCGAGGGCACAUCAGCCAUGGUUGCCAAGUCCACGUACUGGCUGGGGAAGAGGAAGAGAUCCACACAGCAGCCCUGUGCCACACAGUCCUUAGACAGCUGCUCAUACACUCCUUUCUGAGGCUGGAACAGGGUCUGAGGAAAAAACAGAAUUGAAUUAGGAUAGAUACAAUGCUGCUCCCUUCUGUUUGUUAAGGACGACCAUCCCACCUUUUUGUAUAAGAUGGAAUGGUGAGUGAGAAAUGACCUGCGAUGAAGUGCAGCGAACUGUUUAGACACACGGAGUCAAGAAGCUUUAGUCUACAUCCAA